UACGUAGGUGGCAAGCGUUGUCCGGAAUUAUUGGGCGUAAAGCGCGCGCAGGCGGUCCUUUAAGUCUGAUGUGAAAGCCCACGGCUCAACCGUGGAGGGUCAUUGGAAACUGGGGGACUUGAGUGCAGAAGAGGAAAGUGGAAUUCCACGUGUAGCGGUGAAAUGCGUAGAGAUGUGGAGGAACACCAGUGGCGAAGGCGGCGAUCUGGGUAGAUACUGACGCUGAGGUGCGAAAGCGUGGGGAGCAAACAGG
rnacentral:rRNA from 1 species